CUUAUCCGGUAGCACGAGCUGACACGCGCUGUUGCCCUUUGCCUCCGCUCCCACUGCUGUCCGCGCCGCCGCCCUUUGCCUCCGCCCCCGUAGCCGUCCGCGUGCGCUGCCCUUUGCCUCCGCCACCACCGCCGUCCGUAUUGCUGCCCUUUGCCUCCGGUCACUUAUAUCCCCAAAUCACGGAGCUACCAAUCAUUACACAAAUCUCCGCAUCUGCGGAUGUGGCUGCAGCCCACGUCGUUCCACUGUGAGGCACCGGGAGAGCGGGGAAGGCAAGAUGAUGGCGGGUUGGGAGGCCUAUUUUAUGGCCGGAAAACACGAGACUAGCAUGGUCCGUGACCUCGGUGAAGCCUGUGGCAGUGGGAGGCCGGGUAGGUACUGGCAAGCGCGCAAGCGCCACCUUAGGGGAGGGGCGACCUGCGACGAGAGGGGCAACUCCGGCAAGCCAAGUUUGGAACUACAAAAGAACGCUCACCGUCGGCCAGCGAGUUCAGUCACCAGUCACCACCCGCUGUUCUACCUGCUCGAUUUGUUUUGCUUCCAUCCGUGUUGACUUCCUGCCUUUGCUUGGCAUCACGAGGGUGCAUCCAGUGAUUAUGUGCUUCUCCGUGAUGGGGGUGAAAAUUUGCAUGUUAAUUAUCUUUGAGCUGACCAGGGCCUCUUCAACUGGCUUGGCAAUUGCGUUGGCAGCCGGAACAGUGUGUGAUUGGUAGAACCUUGCCUAUCUGACGUUAAUUCCGUGGUUCAUAGUCUACAUACUGAUGUUAUUAUAUCCACCUAUUAGAUAUGUGUCAUUCGUACCUGUUAAACUUGAGUGUUUUUAUUUAUUUAUUGGAUUCAACCGCCUCUAUGAUUUGAUGACCAUCUUUAAUCAUUUUACAUUAGAACCUUCUUUAUUUUGGUUGCACCAAGACUUAAUGCUGUGUCAUGAUUCUGCUUUCUUCUGAACUUGCAACAAAAAUAUUUCAUUCAUGUUCUGACGUACUUUGGUGAAGACUAAAUUUUGCAUUAAUUACAAAUAUGUUUUGCACAUAUAUGUGAGCACAUGAUUCAGUUUCUAUAAUUUCAUAUUACUGCAAUUCCACGUAGGGGAUUUGUGUCCAUGCAUGACUUGCUGUACUAUAGGAGUUGUUGAGAAUUCCUGGACAAAUAAAAGUUUCCUGCUUGGGUCACAAUUACUCAAAUAUGAGCCUUUUCAAUGCUUUCUUUUUUAUGUACUAUUUAUUUGAUCAACAACCUAUGUGAAGUACUUUACGGAGCAACCAUGCUGUAGUGCCUUAUAUACAAUUAAUCACCUUCUAUUCAUAGAUGACAGGCAAUAUACCAGAGCAGGUGGUACGAGCUUCAUGUAUGUUGCUGAUUCAUAAGAGACAGACUUGGGUGCAGGUGACGUAGUCCUUGGAAUGCUUCCUUUAGAAUAGAAAUUUCUAGGCCAUGGAGUUAAUAUAUAAAUUGAAAUUAAGAUAAGAAGAAUGCAUUUAGUUAGGUUUACUCUACAUUGUACUUUGAUUUAAAAAGAAACAUGUUUUGUUUUUUCAUGAGAUUGAAUCAUGGGCUGUGACCAAGCAAUAUAUUGCAUGCUCAUAGUGUGUUUUAUUUACAUUUGUGUUCUCCUACAUGGAAAAUAUAGACUUAAUGCCAGAUUGGAAAUUACAUUUUAUUUGUGUCACCCAGAAGGUCCAGAAUUGAUAGAAAUAUGACCUUUAUUUGUCCAUGAGCAAUCUUUUCAAAUAACCAUUUAAUGAUUACCUCUUUCUAUUGCUACUCAGAUGCUUAGCAUAAGCCAAUAAAAUAAUACUAGGUAGUUCUGGUUAUAAAUUAAUUGUUGGUUUAUAAUCAUAUUAUGGGUACUCGGAUGCUUAGCAUAAGCCAAUAAAAUAAUAUUAGGUAGUCCUAAUUAUAAAUUAAUUGUCGGCUUAUAAUCAUAUUACGGGUACUCAGAUUCUUAGCAUAAGCCAAUAAAAUAAUACUAGGUAGUUCUGGUUAUAAAUUAAUUGUCGGCUUAUAAUCACAUUACGGGUACUCGGAUGCUUAGCAUAAGCCAAUAAAAUAAUAUUAGGUAGUCCUGAUUAUAAAUUAAUUGUCGGCUUAUAAUCAUAUUACGGGUACUCAGAUGCUUAUCAUAAGCCAAUAAACAUUGUGAAAUAACCAUUCAAUGAUUCAUUUUUCUAUAUCAGGAAAUUACAUUUUAUUUGUGUCACCUAGAAGGUUCUGAACUGAUAGAAAUGUGAUCUUUAUUUGUCCAUGAGCAAUCUUGUCAAAUAACCAUUUAAUGAUUACCUCUUUCUACUCCUACUACGCACAUACACCACUGCCAGCCAUCCUCCCGAAACAGUCGCUCGGCUAAUAUGGUGUUUCCACGCUGAUCACACUUUUGUUCUUGCUAUUAUGAUAGCUAAGUAUGAAACUCGAGGUUUAGAAGCUUGAGAAAUUGUAUCUGGACAUGGCCUUGCAAAAAGAAGUUAGGUGCAUUCUCUAUGAGAAACUGAACAUAUAUAUUUUCUUAAAUUAGGUCAGGUCUAUAUACUAUCUUUGGUAACUAAACCAUGGAUGUUAUGCUUAUAUUGAAAAUAAUUUGAAAUUUACAAGGCAGUGGAGCCAGUUCAUAUUUUGUGAUCAACCAAAGUGCAAGCAGCCUAAAUUAGUAAUCUUCGAAUAAACUGGCUUAUAAAAUUUUGAUGGUUUUGUUAAUAGUACAGUAGCACUGGAUAUUCUGCUAUUUCUUAUAUUUAGAAUUUGCGCUGACUUGAUUACUACUGUGCCAUGCAGAAACCUUGAUGCAAAAGGAAGCUCCAUGAAGAAGAGAUUGAAAAUCCAACAUCACAACAUAUAUCUGAUUUCUUAUUUUCAUGAUUAGCAAAGUUACUGCAGUCUGCUUGUUUACAUCUGUUAUCGUGUCUGUUCCAAAUUUGAUUUAGGUCUAUAGGCAAGGGCUAAACUGAAUCAUGCUACUACACAAGGGCUAAACUAAACCAUACUACUACUUCCUACAUGCCCAAUUACUGAUGAUAGGAACUAACAGUUGGGCUGGGCGAUGUUCCCAUGCAUGGUCGCGCUAUGUUAAUUAGUGUGUGUGCUGACCGUAACAUGUUACUAUUAUUUUUCCGCAGAGGAGAGAGGGCCUGGCGAAGCACGUGGACCAGUUAUCAUUACGGUGGAUUUUGCACGACGCACGCGCAUCGGUUUAAUUAGCGCAUAUGCUAAGAAAUAAAGUGCACAGACUUAAUUUAGCAUGUCAAAACACUUUCUUUGACUCCUGAAUUUAGAAUUGCUGCUUGGUACACACUAUUAAUUUUCAUACUGAUAGGCUUAACCAAAUGUUGUAUCAAUUGGGUAAAGUACUCCAUUGCACUUCCAGGCAAACUUCAGCAAUUAGUCAGAAUCCAAUGUCACCCAUGAUUGGUAUUAUGGGUAUCCAUUAGUACUACCAACGUACUAUAGCCAGGUACAAUCAGUACGGACAUGCACUAAUCAGCAUCACCUCUGCAUCCUAAUUAUGCAGGGAACUUGCCGCUGAUCAAUUACAGUUUUGAAACAAUGCUGAAACUCUCACACUUUUUCUUGGCAGAAAACAGCUUACAGAAUAUAGCCAAUCUAUUUUUUGUAUGAAUCCGAGCUUGCUAAUUUAUUCAUCUGGAGAUAAAUUGAUUGUAGUUUGACACUUGGUUGUUGCUUCCUUAUUUUUCAAAUGUACCCCCCUUUCAAGCACACACUAGGUUGAUUCAGAUAUUAUAGAACUCUACAUCGUAUUAUAUAUAUUAUUUCUGUUGUUUUUCAGCUUAGCGGAAAAUUUCAUUCGAAGAUUUGACUAGCAUCCAACCAGAGGAAUGACCCGAAGGGUUAGCAAUCUUACAAGUUUGAAAAGUGUGACAAUAGUAGGGAUUUUGUUUUUCUCGUAACACAGUACUUGGUCAGGUUUUACAGUAUGGUCCCAUGUCUCAUAGGUGUGAAAGCUUUGCUAUAUGUAUGCUGUUGGAGAAAUUAUAUAGCUGUUGUGGUGAAAAUUCCUAUUUAUGGUUAAAUAAAUCAUGUUGUUUCUUCUUUGUUAAUAACCAUGCCUACUAUGAUCCUGCGCUUCUUA